GGCUGCCUUACUGAGAUCCACGGUAAGGAAUUGGAGUAGUAAUCAAAUAUUUCUUUCUCUUCGUCUGUCCAUUUUUGGGAGGAUGGUAUCGGAAUCCAUAUGAUUUCGUAGUUUUGUUCUGUGUUGGUGCUGGAUGGAUGAUCAUAUAACUGUUGAAGCAGGAAGAAAAGUGGCUCUACUGGUGGUUUUGAUAGUAGCAGCAGUAUUACUUUUUCUUUCAGCUCAGUUAUUGCUAUCUGUCGUUGGAUGAUAAAGAACAUUCUUUGUACCUCAUUUUUAUGUAAAGUAAUAGAAGAGACAGGAAAAAGAAAGAAACAAGAAAGGAACAUGAAAAAAGAAAAAGGAUAGUUCUUUGUACUUGUCUGGAGUAUUGUUGAAGUGGCAAAUCAUCUUGUAGAGAAAAAAGUAGGUGGAGUACGUCUUGGUUGUCUUGAUGGGUGCCUGUGUUAAUGUUUCUAAGCUUUCGAUUGAUUUCUUCCUCUGUAGACAUAACAACGGAGAAGCAUCAUCAGAGAUGAGUUUUGCUUUUAAUAGAAGCUCUGCUUUUGGAAAUUGACAUAAGAAUGUUUGAAAAAGUUACCUAUUUGUGUGCUGCAAUCGUCUACCUGCUUGUUAAGGCGGGUAUGUAAGUUGAGCAACUGAUAUCCCAAACUAGAAAGUUCUCCUGCUGCUCUUCUUGAUUCCGUUGAAAGUUCAUGGGCUGAUUUUCUUGUUUCUGUUGCCUAAGUAUAUGAGAGAAUUCCUUGCCAUGAGAAACCUACAUGUUGACUACUAAUAUGCUGCAAACAAUUUCUCUGCUGCUCUUCCAAUUUAAUUUUUCAAGGGAGAUAAAAGAAGGGUGGAUAAAAUGCACCUGCUGGGUUUGCUUGAAAUAAGGUAUUUGCUGCAGGCAUGCAAGCACACUUUUGACAACCCGGUAAGUAGCCAAAUAAACAUUAAACAAGGUUUUAUCCACAAUGUUGUUGUCUAGCUGCACUUGUUUAAUUGGAAGUCUUUCAAAUUUAAUAAGACAUUUGGUUACAUCCAGCAUUGCUCUAACGAGCAACGUCAGAGACUCUAACCAUGGUCUUAACUUGGUUCUCUCAUUAGGCAGCUGGUUGAGUGUUGCAAUAGAUGAUGCGACGGGUUCACAGGAGGCUAGAUGGACUGGUAGCAAUAGUCCUCCAUAUGCUGCAGCAAGUACUCCUAGUAC
rnacentral:lncRNA from 1 species